GCAAUAUGGUGUUUGGCCGUUGUUACCGUGUUUUGGUUUGCAACCUUACUCAAGCAAAGAUUCAAAUCCUUACACAAUUUUCUGAAUGAAAUUUAUUCUAGCGAAGACUACUUUAUAAAGAAGACAUGCAACUCUGUUAAUUUUCCAUACAAACUUCAAGCGUCACCGACGGCACCGCCGCCUGGUGAGCUAAGGUGGUACCUUUAUGUAAAAGUGUAAGAGUGUAUUGGUGCGAGUAUGAAAAUUUACACACACUAUCAUGAAUAGUGCCACCUUCAUCCGGGGUGGCGCUGCUAGCAGUGACUCCCGAUUUUCAGCAGUGCUGCAAGUCUUCUUGAUAAUGUGGUCUUCGAUUCUAGUCUAGAUGUCUGUUCUCAGUGCUAUCCCCAGUGUGGCCGAUAAACUGACGCCCCAGUGAAUCACUACCACAGAGAACAGACAUCCAAGUCCAGUUCCAAAACUGUGUAAGGAAUUUAACGGCCAUUUAAAAUCGGCAACACAAGUGGCAAUAGCGUGGCGCUGCAAUCGGUUAAUUUUCCAUGCUAAUUUAAUUCACCACUUGAAAUGUUUCACUUCACCACUGACUGUGGCAAUAUGGUGUUUGGUGGCGUUAGUGUUGUCAUCGUGUAUUGGUAUGCAACCUUACUCAAGUAAAUAUUCAAAUCCUUACACAACUUUCCGAAUGAAAUUUGUUCUAGCCUGGAUGUCUGUUCUCUGUGUCGCUACGAUGAAAUGCCAUCUCUGCUAAUCGGCAUCGAUAGCAGGGCAGAGGGAAUGAUUUAUGCUCCACUGAAGAGGGAGACUGCGAAGAUAGGCGUGACUACAAACUCGAACAAGACGAAGUACAUGAUUGCGGGUAGAUACAGACAGGCCUUUGAACGAAUAAAAUACGGCAUACUUCAGAGAGCUAGACACACAGUGUGAAUGUCGAAAGUAUUGUGAAAGCUAUAUUCAGCAAACAACCAGGUAGGGGUCGGGAACAUCGUGGGCGGCUCUUUUUAAUUACAUCAAGACAUGAAAUAUUUCAAACGCAUGAAAUAUUUCAUAUGUAUGAAAUAUUUCAUAUGCAUGAAAUAUUUCAUAUUACAUGACAUAUUCAUUUUUGAAUUAACACGUUGAGCAUGUUCAGAAUUCCAUUCAAUGAAAAAUAUAUCAAAUUGCGAGACAUAUUUUUCGUCAAACAUCCCGUCGAUUUCGCCCACUGUGCAGCACUACCGGUAAUGUGUUGGUUUCUAGCAUGAAGCGCCACCACACCAACUCAUGGUUCUUCUUCCUGUUCGCUAUCUUCUCACUUCGCACAAUCUUAUCCCGA